AGACCUACGGGAGGCAGCAGUAGGGAAUCUUCCACAAUGGACGAAAGUCUGAUGGAGCAACGCCGCGUGAGUGAAGAAGGGUUUCGGCUCGUAAAGCUCUGUUGGUAGUGAAGAAAGAUAGAGGUAGUAACUGGCCUUUAUUUGACGGUAAUUACUUAGAAAGUCACGGCUAACUACGUGCCAGCAGCCGCGGUAAUACGUAGGUGGCAAGCGUUGUCCGGAUUUAUUGGGGGUAAAGCGAGUGCAGGCG
rnacentral:rRNA from 1 species